GCUGGGCGUGGUGGCAGGUGCCUGUAAUCCCAGCUACUCAGGAGGCUGAGGCAGGAGAAUCGCUUGAACCCAGGAGGCAGAGGUUGCUGUGAGCUGAGAUCGCGCCACUGCACUCCAACCUGGUGACAGAGUGAGACUCCGUCUCAAAGAAAGAAAAAAAAAAAAAAAACUCAGGAGGAGGGCUGAGUGCGAUGGCUCUUUCGCCCAGGCUGGAGUGCAGUGGCACCAUCUCAGCUCACUGCAACCUCCGCCUCCUGGGUUCAAGCGGUCCUCCCACCUCAG
rnacentral:SRP_RNA from 1 species